GACGAACGCUGGCGGCGUGCCUAAUACAUGCAAGUCGAACGCAUUUUCUUUCACCGUAGCUUGCUACACCGACAGAAAAUGAGUGGCGAACGGGUGAGUAACACGUUGGUAACCUGCCCAUCAGCGGGGGAUAACACUUGGAAACAGGUGCUAAUACCGCAUAAUUCCAUUUACCGCAUGGUAGAUGGGUGAAAGGCGCUUUUGCGUCACUGAUGGAUGGACCCGCGGUGCAUUAGCUAGUUGGUGGGGUAACGGCCUACCAAGGCUGCGAUGCAUAGCCGACCUGAGAGGGUGAUCGGCCACACUGGGACUGAGACACGGCCCAGACUCCUACGGGAGGCAGCAGUAGGGAAUCUUCGGCAAUGGACGCAAGUCUGACCGAGCAACGCCGCGUGAGUGAAGAAGGUUUUCGGAUCGUAAAACUCUGUUGUUAGAGAAGAACAAGGAUGAGAGUGGAAAGUUCAUCCCUUGACGGUAUCUAACCAGAAAGCCACGGCUAACUACGUG
rnacentral:rRNA from 1 species